GGUUAAGCGACUAAGCGUACACGGUGGAUGCCCUGGCAGUCAGAGGCGAUGAAGGACGUGCUAAUCUGCGAUAAGCGUCGGUAAGGUGAUAUGAACCGUUAUAACCGGCGAUUUCCGAAUGGGGAAACCCAGUGUGAUUCGUCACACUAUCAUUACGUGAAUACAUAGCGUAAUGAAGCGAACCGGGGGAACUGAAACAUCUAAGUACCCCGAGGAAAAGAAAUCAACCGAGAUUCCCCCAGUAGCGGCGAGCGAACGGGGAGCAGCCCAGAGUCUGAAUCAGCAUGUGUGUUAGUGGAAGCGUCUGGAAAGUCGCACGAUACAGGGUGAAAGUCCCGUACACAAAAGUGCAUGUGUUGUGAACUCGAAGAGUAGGGCGGGACACGUGGUAUCCUGUCUGAAUAUGGGGGGACCAUCCUCCAAGGCUAAAUACUCCUGACUGACCGAUAGUGAACCAGUACCGUGAGGGAAAGGCGAAAAGAACCCCGGCGAGGGGAGUGAAAAAGAACCUGAAACCGUGUACGUACAAGCAGUGGGAGCACCCUUUGGGGUGUGACUGCGUACCUUUUGUAUAAUGGGUCAGCGACUUAUAUUCUGUAGCAAGGUUAACCGAAUAGGGGAGCCGAAGGGAAACCGAGUCUUAACUGGGCGUUAAGUUGCAGGGUAUAGACCCGAAACCCGGUGAUCUAGCCAUGGGCAGGUUGAAGGUUGGGUAACACUAACUGGAGGACCGAACCGACUAAUGUUGAAAAAUUAGCGGAUGACUUGUGGCUGGGGGUGAAAGGCCAAUCAAACCGGGAGAUAGCUGGUUCUCCCCGAAAGCUAUUUAGGUAGCGCCUCGUGAA
rnacentral:rRNA from 1 species